rnacentral:lncRNA from 1 species
AACCCUAGGCCAAAACAGAUUCCACACGUGCACAAAUUUAUUAAAAAUCAUCAAAAAAAAGAGGACAUUACAAGGAUCAUGGCAGAAAAAAUCUCAUGUUGAUUGGAUUAUUAUUGAGAGAGUUAUGAAUUUUCUAUUGAGAAGAAAAAAUAAAAAAUAAAAGUGAAACAAGCAUGUGAAUAUGAUAAGUAUAGCAUGGAAAAAAUACAAGGCAAAUGAAUUUUGUAUGGAGCGGGGAAUCGAUCCCCUAAGCAAUUCAAAUUGAGGCGCCACUUAAGUGAAACUCCGUGUUUCACUUAAGUGCG